ACAAAUGAGCCAGAUGUGAUAUCAAGUUACCUAUUUAAAGUUAAAAACGUAAAAAUAGCUUUGUUUGAGUCAUAAAAUAAAUACUAAAAGGUUCUUACUUUACUAGGCGAUCGACUAAUUAACAAAAACAAAUAUUUCACACACAUUCACUUUUCUUGUUUCGGACUGUUCCUUAUAUUUAUUUCAACUAAUUAUUUAAACUGAUAUCUUUAAAAAUAUGAAUGAAUGAAAUGUUUCACAAUAAAGAUAUAUUAUUUUUUAUCAUAUAAAACAAAAACAUUGUAAAUCAAUAUUACUUUUCAGCUUUACUUUUCAAAAAUAUAUGAAAACUAAAAGUGGUAUGCUCAUCUUGACCUUGACCUCAUACGUUGGCGCAAUUUUAGAAUAUUUGCCUAAACAAAACCGACAAAACAUUUCUUUUUUUCCUAUACAUGCUCCACAAGAUGACAAGAGGUGCCUUAAUUGUAUUUGAAGGAUGCGAUAGAUGUGGUAAAACAACGCAAUGCAAGAAAUUAGUCGAUGCCUUGAACAGAGAUGGCGGCAAAGCAGAGUUCAUGAGAUUUCCAGAAAGAUCAACAGCCAUUGGUCAAACUAUAAGUGGAUACUUAGAGAAAAAAUCAGAGCUAGAGGACCAUGCUGUACAUCUUCUGUUUUCUGCCAAUAGAUGGGAGUUAGUUCCAAAAAUGCUUAGACUGUUGAACAGUGGGACUACGUUGAUAGUGGACAGAUAUGCUUAUUCUGGUGUUGCCUUCACAGGAGCUAAACCUGGGUUUGACCUUCAAUGGUGCAAACAGCCAGAUGUUGGGCUUCCUAAACCUGACCAGGUCCUCUAUUUGACCCUGAGCCCAGAGGAAGCAUCUAAGAGAGCUGCAUUUGGGACUGAGCGAUAUGAGAAUACAGAGUUCCAGGAGCGUGUGGCAAAAAAUUUUGAAAUUCUCAAGGAGCAUGAUUGGAAGAUUGUGAAUGCUGGCAAGUCCAUUGAAGAUCUUCAUGGAGAGAUAAAGUCCAUUGUAACACAAACAGUUGAGAGCUCGAAAGACAAACCUAUCUUGAAAUUAUGGAGCAACCCUUCAGAAUAUCCUAAUAAAAAGAGACCCCUUGAAGAAGUUACAAAUGAAGAGGGAGAAAAUGUUCCUGUGUGAAUUGGUUCAUUAUCGGUUUAGAACCUUUAAAGAACUUGCAUCUUGGAUAAAUAUAUACAACAUAUUGUAAUGAUUCUUUAUUUUAUCAAACUGAUCUAUAUUCCAGGGUCUAUAUAGCUAUACUAACUGAAUUUACCUUUUAGUUUAUUAUCUCGCUUACAAAAUAGCAAUGUUGGCGUUUUGCUGGCUCAAAAUGCUAAAGUUAUUUAAUUAGCAAAGGAAGAGUAUGCUAAUAUGUGGUGAUAAAUUAUUUAUAAACAUUUUGAAUAUUUUAUUCAAAAUGUAAGACCAUUCAAUAAAGUGAAAUUCAACAUGAGUUGGACAGAAUCUUGCAUGCACAUGUUAGUUAAUCUAAUGUAGAUAU
rnacentral:misc_RNA from 1 species